rnacentral:lncRNA from 1 species
AAAGGGGUGGACCAUUAAUUCAACACAGAAUUGAACUGAAGGGAAUGCAGAGAGCCCUUCUUUCCUGACCCAGAAAGGGAAACAACUGUGACUACACUGCAAAAGGUGCUGGGAUGUAUACCUAGCCAAAGUUCCACGCUUAAGUCAUAGUUAAGUAAUACAGACUGAAGCCAACAACCAUGCAAAUCCAGCCUCAUUUGCACAGCAGCAUGAGAAGCAUGCAAGAACCAUCACAAUUACUGAACACAAUCCCAAGUUUAAAGAAGAUAAAACCUGUGAACAAAGACGGCACAGCAGUAACAAAUCCUGAAUUCAUGUUUUAUAGCACUUAAAAGCACAAUUUGAUCACAGGACCACAGCAAUGGGAGGUAUAUAUCCUCAAGCAGAAGAACAGAAGUGAGCAGCAUAGCAUUAGAGCAGGCUGAGUGGACCAGAGCUGCAGCACACCUGGGUCACAGCGAGAUGUGCACAGCCAAAAGGUACUCCCUCCACCUGCUGCAUCCACAGCUAGCACUGGCUGUGCCUUACAUUUGUCCUCAAGGUUCAAAGAUACACUGUGGAACGAUCCUGUUGUGCUAAUCACGGCCCCUUGCAAUAUCAUUGAUACAAACAGUCAACGUGUAAAGGGGCUAAGAGAAAAACACUUUUUUGGUUUAGGACACUUCACUCUCCCUCAAAAAUGUUUCCUUAGUAAAGUGCAAAAUGAAUGAAAACACAACUCAAUCAUACCCCAUUA